rnacentral:siRNA from 1 species
GGAUGCAACACGAGGACUUCC